GUUAAGGUGUUUUCAAGCAUCCCUCUCAUUUGCUUAUCCUAUUGAUCUGUUCUGGCCCAGUAGAGAAGAAGCAUGUUCAAAGAGAACAUGAUAGAGGGAGAAGCCCUUGCCUUGGAAUCAAAAGAUCUGAAUUUGAAUUCCAACUGUGACCAUCAUGAAGAGAUUUGGGACUUCUUCCAACCUUAAAUCUAAGAAGUAUUAAGUAACUUUUUUAAGAGAAAAGGAAAUAAUCAAGAAAGAGAUGCAAAACAGUGAAUCUGCUUGGCCAUAUAUAGCAACUAUACAUAAAAUUUAAUGAAGAAAAUAAGAGAGUAUAUGACCAGUGCCAAGUGAAUGACACAUACAAGUACUAUAAAAGCAAAAGCCAGGAGAGGAUCCUUGUGAAAGUUACAAUCAAAAAAGGCUGAAUAAAGAGGCCCAACCAUGUGAGAAUUAAAUGAGACAAAAUAAAAUAAUUGAAUUUAACAAUGCAUAUGAUAAA